AACGAACGCUGGCGGCAGGCCUAACACAUGCAAGUCGAACGCCCCGCAAGGGGAGUGGCAGACGGGUGAGUAACGCGUGGGAACCUACCUAGAGGUGCGGAAUAGCCCAGGGAAACUUGGAGUAAUACCGCAUAAGCCCGCAAGGGGAAAGAUUUAUCGCCUUUAGAUGGGCCCGCGUCUGAUUAGCUAGUUGGUGAGGUAAUGGCUCACCAAGGCGACGAUCAGUAGCUGGUUUGAGAGAAUGACCAGCCACACUGGGACUGAGACACGGCCCAGACUCCUACGGGAGGCAGCAGUAAGGAAUAUUGGUCAAUGGAGGGGACUCUGAACCAGCCAUGCCGCGUGAAGGAUGACGGCCCUCUGGGUUGUAAACUUCUUUUGGAUGGGGCGAAAAAACGGGAUUUAUCCUGGACUGACGGUACCAUCAGAAUAAGCACCGGCUAACUCCGUG
rnacentral:rRNA from 1 species